rnacentral:miRNA from 1 species
UAUAUGUGUGUGUGUGUAUAUAUAUGUAUAUAUAUAUACAUAUAUAUAUAAUACAUGCACAUAUACAUACACACACAUAUAUGUAUAUAUUUAUACACAGA